AGUGAACGCUGGCGGUAGGCCUAACACAUGCAAGUCGAACGGCAGCACAGUAAGAGCUUGCUCUUACGGGUGGCGAGUGGCGGACGGGUGAGGAAUACAUCGGCAUCUACUUUUUCGUGGGGGAUAACGUAGGGAAACUUACGCUAAUACCGCAUACGACCUACGGGUGGAAGCAGGGGAUCUUCGGACUUUGCGCGAUUGAAUGAGCCGAUGUCGGAUUAGCUAGUUGGCGGGGUAAAGGCCCACCAAGGCGACGAUCCGUAGCUGGUCUGAGAGGAUGAUCAGCCACACUGGAACUGAGACACGGUCCAGACUCCUACGGGAGGCAGCAGUGGGGAAUAUUGGACAAUGGGCGCAAGCCUGAUCCAGCCAUACCGCGUGGGUGAAGAAGGCCUUCGGGUUGUAAAGCCCUUUUGUUGGGAAAGAAAAGCAGCAGGUUAAUACCCCGCUGUUCUGACGGUACCCAAAGAAUAAGCACCGGCUAACUUCGUG
rnacentral:rRNA from 1 species